GUUCUCAAUAUGAAGCACAAAAGGUAUAGAACUCAUGACCCUCCUGCCUCUGCCUCUGAAGUGCUGGGAUUAUAGACAGCAUUGCCACACCUGGCUGUGAUCUUUCUUCACAGCAAACAUAAAGCUAGGAUGUGGUUUAGCUGUGACUUCCUUGUUAAAUCCGGUUGAUAGUGGAAGACUGCAAAGGAAUGAGCCAAACACAGCUGGUGAGACAGCAGCCUCGGUUCUAACUCAGGCAGUGAACUGAGCAACAGCGACUGAAAUCCUAAGCAUUUGCGACGAUGGCAAACUCUUCCCGAACUGAGUCUGUGCACAGAGUAAACUGUCCUAAAAAUGAGUCCAGGAAGUCACUGCUAGUCUAACUGGCCUGGCAGAGACACUUUUAUCUUCCAUCUGACUCUCAGACUACUGAAACAAUGGACCACAAGAAGCUGGAAUUCCCCCAAGAAUCUCAAGCUGAGAGAAGAAAAGACCUAAACCUAGACCAGCCAGGAAAGGGAUUUACAACCUGUCAUUUCACCUUCCCGAAAGGUCAGUGGCUGGCGGGACCACACCUUGACUGAAGACUUCUGAGCUACGCAUAACUCUGGUUAAACUUUAACCCCUCAUCAGGACCCUGCAGAUGGACUUGGGCGGGUCACUAGACUUCUUUGUCUCCCUUCCCAGUGUGGCAACAUUGAAUGUAGCUCUGUUUUAAGCUCUCACUGUUAAAAUGUCUGCUUUAAUUAGUUUAUCAAGGACAGGUGGCACGAACUGAGGAAUCAAACUUUAUUUCUUCAGUGACUCUCCCUUUAUCAUCAACUUCAAUGCUGUGGGUUUCCGUGAGGUCUCCAUUCUACCUGAGUGUCUUGUCCACCUUCAAACUAUGUCUCUAGUCUCCUAGAGGCCCAGAUCCCUCAAUGCUGACCUCACCAGCAUCUCCUUCACCAUGAAUCCAGAAUGUUCUCCUCUGGUAGAUUCUCCAUACUUGGGAGUGGCCCAGUUUCUUUUGUUCUUGUAUUCAGUCAGAUUUAGCAGAUAAACAUAGAGGAUAUAAAGGAUAGAUACCCAGUUCAAUUUUAGAUAAACAAGUGGAUACAUAGUUAGGAAAAGCCUGUCCCAAAUACUGCAUAGAAUUCUAUAUUUUUAACUUACAAAUCCAUGAUCAGGAAACCAAGGCCUGGAGAAUGAACCAACUUACAAAUAUUUUUAUUUAUUAUUUAUAUUUUAUGUGUAUGAGUGUUUUGCCUAGAUGCAUAUAUGUGCACCAUGAGCACUCCUGGUGCCCCAGAUGCCAGAGGAGGCUGUUGGAUCUCCUGGAACUGAUGUUCCGGAUGGUUGUGAGCUGCCAUGUGAAUGCUGGUAGCAGAACCUGCGUCCCCAGGAAGGGCAAUAAGUGCCCUUAACAGCUGAGCCAUCCCUCCAGCCCUUGAAAAAUCUAAAAUAGAUCAAGAUUCAACCUAGAAGGAAACAAGAAAGAACUAAGACUGACUCACUCCAAUCUAGAGAGAGUGUUCUUUUUACAAAGAUAACCGUGUCUCUGGUCAGAACAAGGAAGCCGGUUGUUUAUGAAAAGAAUUUUGUGUGUGCCUUAAUGUUACUAAACUAUCAAUGUAGUCCCUUAGGGUGAGUUGGCUUAUGAAAGGUGUCCUAUCCCAGCCUCGAACUGUCCAAGGGAAGAAGUCAAAUUCCCUCUUGCAUAACCAAGUGAGGACUGACAGACUAGAAACUUCAGCAGCUUUGAAGUUGGAAUGGAAAAAUCAAAUGGGUCAGUGUCAUUCUCUGAGACCACCCCCAUUUUGUUCCUUUAUAAACAAGAGGACCCUGCAUCUAAGAAGGAACGGGUAUCUAUGCAAGGUCACGUCACAGAAGCAGACAUUCAAUACUGGCCUGCAAUAUAACGCAUACAGAGAUUUUCCAAACUAGGAAAUAAGUGGCAAACCCCAUAGAAAAGUGAGCAAAUGCAAACAAGGUUAUAUAAACAAGCACAUAAUCUUACCAAACCAAAGAAAUUCAAAUAAAGCAAGCAUGAGAUGCCAGUUCUUUUUUUUUUUUUUUUAAAGUGAUCCAAAGUUAUAUUAUUUAUGGCACACUUAGUUACAAGGAAAUGGGUAAACUGUUUUCCACAAACUUAAUGCGUAAUCAAGCUGUGAUGGGCAAAGGAACACAGAGCACACAAAACAGAUAUUAAAUACAUGGCUGUCACAAAACCAAAGGGCAUGCAUAUAAAUAAAUAUGGUGUGAUAAAAUGUUUGAUUUUUAACAAUUACAAACAAAUGCAUGUCUUAUAAUCAACUGGGUAAAUAUACUAAGGGAAAAAAAGCAACACACCUGGAGGGAAAAAUGGGCACUAGAAUAAUAAUAAAAGUAAAUGUCAGCACUAGUAGCUCAUUUUUUUAUUAGUUCAAAUUAGAAACAAGCUUGCUUCACAUGACAAUCCCUUCUCCCUCUCCCUCUCCCUCCCCAACCUCCCACCAGCCCCCACCUCACCCCGCCUCUGCUCCCCAGGGAGGGUAAGGCCCUCCAUGGGGGUUCCCCAAAGUCUGUCAUAUCAUCCUUAGAGGUACCAAUUCUUAAGUCUUCAAAAAUAAUUUAAAGAUGUGGUCCUACUCAGGCUUGUCAAAGGGUUUGAUCUUGUUGAUAAAGGACUGGCUACUGAUAGAAACUUCUUAAACAGUGUUUGAUAACAGGUCUCAGGAUUCUUAAAAUGGCUUUGUAUUUAAAGAAAGGUGAAAAAUUUAGACAUUAUCCCUAAGCUUAGGGUUUACUUUCAAUAGUGUAAAUGUAGAGUACACCUUGAGAUGAUAAGUUACUUAAUGUUUAAAUGUCAAAUAUGUAAAAUCAGUAUUUCAUUUAGGAAUUUUUCAAAUACAAACAAUAGACAACCCAUGAAUGACCCAAUAGUCCUGGGCUGGGCAGGCUGCCAAACUCAGGACCCAAGCAUCACGCUUAAGACUAUUUCUCCCUUAUUCUGGGCCACUUGCUUAGUUCCUUCCACCAAGAUGGCCAGAUGGCUCUUGUUCAAUGAGUUGCUGGAUCUAGCACAUAUCAAUUAUUCAGAGACAAUAGUCAACUUGUAGAGAAUUUUGUGAACCUGUAUUUAACAAUGUUGUUAUUUGAAACAUGAUAUACAUGGGAUUAAAAUUAAAUGUGUUGAAAAAAAUAAAUGUAACAGGUCCAUUUAAAUCAUCUAUUCCUAGUUAAAUUUCUAUGAUGGAUGAUUUUGAGGUUAGUCACAUCUUCUGUAUCUAUCUGUAUGUGAGGGAGACUAUGACAGAGCUUCUAAUCCACUGUGGUGAACGGUUUUCAGGAAGAGACCAAUGCUAUAAAUCAGGGACCCCCUCCCCCCCCCCAGAUCCAGUGCUUGAAUAUUUACCACCGCAGCAUCAUUCUGGCUGUCAGAGGCUUCCAGCGCCUCAGAUUCAGUUCAACAGGAUGGAGAUAACCCAUACUAUUGAUAACCCUCAGUUGUAGGAAAGUUCAGCCUGAUCAUACACUGUAUAAACUGAUGAUGUCACUGCUCCAUGGUAUGGUGAAGGGAAGAGUUUCAUUGUAGGUAUGAGAGACAGGACAGCCAGAGGCAUCUGGAAGAGUCCAGAGCAGAGAAAGAAAUUAAUAGACUGAAUAUGGCCAGCAGACUGGGCCUGGUCGGGAGACAAUCGGGAGCAGAGGGCAGGGGAGGGGUGUGAGAGAAGAAGACGAAGAAAGGACCAAGAGAGGGAAAAAAAGGGGACCGAGGGGGAGCAUAGUCAAAACAGCAGGGUUAUAAGGAGAGUGAGAAACUUGGAGGAGGGAAGCCCACAAGCUGGAGUCGAUGGUGGAGGGGGAAGAGCUGGGUACUUGUGAUUCGGAGGAAGGGAGCCUGGAGCCCAGAAUGCACUUUGCUCUGUCAAUAGGCCUCACAGGUAGCCAUUUGUUCCUCCCAUCAGAGGAAAGGGAAAUGGUUCCUUUGGUGGAGGAGAACUGGCUAUUGUCUAACAGCCAGAAUUUGGGGACAUGGAAAUUUCUUUGGGUCUGACACAUACUUAGGUCAUCUCUGAACUAAGCAUGAAGACUGGGGGAAAGCCAUGCUGGACUCCACUGUGGAACCAGAUCAGAGACCCACCCAGAUCUGCAAAGGACUUGGCUCACAACCCGAAACCUUCUAAAAUGGAAACACUGACCCCAAGUGGUGACAGAGAAAGAAACUCUGGCCAGUUCAGGAAGCUUUUACUUUGUAGGGUCUCUCACUGAGCCUGCAUCUCACCAUUUUGUCUAGACUGGCUGGCCAACACAGUGCAGCAGCCAUUGUGUCUGCACCCUCCACACGCUGGGGUUACAGGAAAGUCCUGACUUGAGGUAUGGAGGUUUUCUCUCGGAGCCACCAGCCUCCUGCCUGAAGAGCUGGGCAGCCUUUGUCAGCAUGCUCUACAGAGGCCUCUAAGCUCCAAGAGGUCAGGGACUGGCCGUGUUUUUCAGUCUGCAUGUCUAGAGCCUGGGAGAACUCUAGGAUCCUGGAAGGCACCCAACAGGAAGUUGAUUGACUUUAUGGCUGGACUCUCAGCUUCCAUCGGCUCUCUUCUGCCCAUUGACAAUAGUGUCUAGCUGAAGUCAUGGGUCUGGGUCUGCAUUCCCGAAGAUCCUGCCGGCCAGUGUGCUUACCUCCAGGGAUAUCUGAAGGCACUCAGAAAACAUGUAUCGCUGUGGAUGGCUUCUCAAUGACAAGAAGCAAGAUUCCUGAGAUUUUUGUCCUUUGAGAAACUCUACAGCUUUUCCCAGUGGGGCAGUUCUGCUCUCCAGAAGACACCUGCUGUGACGAGCCAAAAACAGCUGGCAGGCCACAGAGGAAGCUGGCACUCGCUCAGCAAAGAACCAAACCCAAACCAGACCUUGCCUACAGUUGGAUGGCAAAGUUCCCAGAUGGGCAGCUUGAAAUAAAGAGAUGUGAGGUGUUCGAUAUAAAAGAAAAUAAAACUGCCGGAAACAGACGUCUCCUC
rnacentral:lncRNA from 1 species